CCUGCCCAGUGACUCUAGUUCAACGGCCGCGGUAUCCUAACCGUGCAAAGGUAGCAUAAUCACUUGCCCAUUAAUUGUGGGCUAGAAUGAACGGACUAACGAAAUAAGAACUGUCUCUGUAAGUUAUAUAAAAAUUAAUCUCUAACUGAAGAGUGUUAGAUACCCUUGAAGGACAAGAAGACCCUAUAGAGCUUUAUUUACUACAGUAAUAAUCAACUUUAAAAAAUUCGGUUGGGGCGACCUGGGAAAAUAAUAAACAUCCCUCAGAUUUAUGAUUAAUAUAUCUUCCUACUGACCCUUUAUAAAGAUCAACAAAUCAAGCUACCUUAGGGAUAACAGGCUAAUCCCGUUAAAGAGUCCUUAUUAAUAACGGGGUUUGGCACCUCGAUGUUGGCUUAGGGAAUCCAUGCGGCGCAAAAGUCGCAUAAUGAUGGUUUGUUCAACCAAUAACUCCCUACGUGAUC
rnacentral:rRNA from 1 species